ACAUUUGCAAAUAAAAAACUGUACAAGUAUGGAUGCUUUCUUUCCUGGUGGGCUUUGGCCUCCAAAACUGGGUCCUCUUACCAUAGGAGGAUUGAAGAAGCCCAUGUCAGAGUGGGGCCCAUAGAGUUUUCCAACCUCACUUUUUAACCUACAUCUAUAUGGCGGACCAUAUGAAGAAGUGACUGAUUUUAGUCGGUUGUCCGGUCUUUUUCCUUCAUCUCUUACUUCUCUUCGCAUAGAAUGAUUUGAGAAAUUGGAAUCAAUUUCAACGGGACUCCAACACCUCACCUUUCUCCAGCAUCUCUUCAUUGUCAAGUGCCGAAAGAUGAUGGAUCUACCAGAAAAGCUGUUGCCUUCGCUUUUGAGUUUGGGAAUUAAUGAAUGCCCGAAUCUGAAAAAAAAAAGACUAGUAUAGGAGUCUCCUAUUGGCGCGUCGUUCCCCUAAUUCCCCUGCAUCUACGAGGAUGACUAUAUCUUAUUGUGAAGGAUUCAUGACCCACCCUUAUGAUUCACAAUUGUAGCAUUCAAUGCUAAUGCAUAUGCCAUCGGGUGUGUAAGAAGAAGAAAUAAUUGAUGAAGCAUUUGCAUUGAUACAAGAAGAAAUGAAGGUAAAAAAAACAGAUGAAGAAAAACAGAAGAAGAAACCAAGGUGGGCUUAUGAUAAACAUAGACACUAGCCUCCGCCUCCAUCUCCACCUCGACCUGUUUGUGAGUUGCCAACUGCUGGCUCAAACACGUGACUUUGAAGAGUAUGGAAAAUGGUUGAUAAAUUUGCACGCAAGGUGUUUGUGGUUUUGCUUGUGUGAAAAUUAGUACUGCUCUGAUGGUAGAAAUAGUUUCAAAAUGCUCUAAUCAGAUGUGUCUUGGAGAUGUUUGUACGAAGAGUCGAUACAAAUACUUACAUUGUUACGUAUCCAUUUGACAUGAUAGCAUUAGCAAUUCUCUGCACA